GGUGAGUUAAUGUAGAUACUGUGCCAAUUGCCAAGCAAAUUUGCAUCAUUUGUACAGUACAAUUACAUUGGAAGUACCAAUGUGGUUAACAGGUUUUUGAGCAUUGUACAAGCUCCUCUUGAGGCAGGAUUUGGCGUCCGUGGGAUCAAGCACAUUCACCAUGAAUUCAUGGAUGUCAAGAACAACUAUCUCAGCAUUCGCAUUGUCAUCACAAACAAGUCUGAGAUGAACUCACAAAUGGAGAUAAUAUUGGAGAAGCCAAAGCAAUCACCUGCAUAAUCUUGAUUCCUUGCUGUCAGGUGGUACACCGGAGGGAGGACAGAUCACCGAAUUUCUUUAAGAACAUCUGUGUGCAACACUUUUUGCUUCUGCAGCCUUGAAGGUCCAUAGCUUAUGUUCUAUCAAUGCAUGGCGAUUUUGACUUCAACAAGUUAUGUCUAGAAAACCUGUUGGUUCAUUGUAGUCAGGCACCAUUUCACACUGAUUCUGCACUACUGGCAGGGGUAUCAACGCCAGCCUCUUUCCCUUCUUUGGUGUACAUGAUAUGGGGAACUAUUUCUUAUGGCUCCGAUCACACUGGUGCCAUGCUGCAGCACCAUGGUUACAGGCUUAUAAUCUAGAAUUGCGUUAUGCGGUAGAGGUGCACCAGGUUAGAAAUUAGGUUAUCAUUCACAAUGACAGCUUGGCUGUUCUCCUU